ACGUAGGUGGCGAGCGUUGUCCGGAUUUAUUGGGUUUAAAGGGUGCGUAGGCGGUCCAUUAAGUCAGUGGUGAAAUACGGCAGCUCAACUGUCGAGGUGCCAUUGAUACUGAAGGACUUGAGUACAGUCGAGGUAGGCGGAAUUGACGGUGUAGCGGUGAAAUGCUUAGAUAUCGUCAAGAACACCGAUAGCGAAGGCAGCUUGCUAGGCUGUAACUGACGCUGAGGCACGAAGGUGCGGGGAUCAAACAGGAUUAGAUACCCUGGUAGUCCGCACAGUAAACGAUGGUCACUCGGUGUUGGCGGUACACGGCCAGCGCCUUAGCGAAAGCGUUAAGUGACCCACCUGGGGAGUACGCCCGCAAGGGUG
rnacentral:rRNA from 1 species